rnacentral:rRNA from 1 species
CGAACGCUGGCGGCGUGCUUAACACAUGCACGUCGAACGGGAUUUAGUAGACAGAAGCCUCGGCUAAAGAUUACUAAUGAGAGUGGCGAACGGGUGAGUAACGCGUGAGCAACCUGCCUAUGACAGUGGGAUAGCCUCGGGAAACCGGGAUUAAUACCGCAUAAAAUCGUAGAAACACAUGUUUCAACGGUCAAAGAUUUAUCGGUCAUAGAUGGGCUCGCGUCUGAUUAGCUAGUUGGUGAGAUAACAGCCCACCAAGGCGACGAUCAGUAGCCGGUCUGAGAGGAUGAACGGCCACAUUGGAACUGAGACACGGUCCAAACUCCUACGGGAGGCAGCAGUGGGGAAUAUUGCACAAUGGGGGAAACCCUGAUGCAGCGACGCCGCGUGAACGAAGAAGGUAUUCGUAUCGUAAAGUUCUGUCCUAUGGGAAGAUAAUGACAGUACCAUAGAAGAAAGCUCCGGCUAAAUACGUG